rnacentral:lncRNA from 1 species
UAAAAUGGGUAUACAUGUUUUGGGCACUUUGGGGUGAUGUAUGUGUAUGAAAAAGUUUUAUGGGUACACUUAAAAUCAUGUUAUAUUGUGUGCAUCUUGUUUCCUUAUUACCAUGUAUGGAUUAUAAUAUUUUGUGGAAUGCUUAUCUGCACUCUUUGACCAAGAGUGUGGGUAGGAGGGUAUUGAGAGUUCUCUCCCAUUGUUGGAAGAGAAAAGAGUGAGUUAUGAGUAUAAGAGGAGUGAAAGUGAUGUUUUUGUGAGAUUGGGUAUAUGGGGUUGAUGAAAUGGUGAAGAAAGAAGAAGCUUGGUUGCAUGGGAAUAAUAAGAUCAUGAAGGAAAAACAUGGAAUUGGCAAAGAAAUAGAAAGGGGCUGCAAGAGGAGCAACAACCGUGAAGAGAGAAGCUUGAAGGGUCUUUGGAAGCAAAGAAGGAUAAGUUAAANAAGGGUUGAAGAAAGAAAAAUGCAUUGUGUGACUUGGGUGUGUUUACGUAUGGGUGUGAAGCUUGGGUGAGGAGAAUGAGAGAGAUUUUGGUGUUGAAAAGUCAAAAGAAGAAAUAUGGGUGUUGUAGUGUUGAUACGUAAAUGGUAGAGAAUAUGAGUGAAAAAGAAAAAUAAAAGUAUGUGGGAUACUGUGUGAGACUGUGAGCAUUGAGUGGAGGAGAGAUAAGAGUGAAAUGAAAGGAUUGUAGUGUAUAAGUGUGUGUGUGUGUACGUAAAUGAGGUUGGGAGAGUGAAGAGAAAAAAAUAAAAUAAAAGGGAGUUUAGGGAGGGGUUACGUGACUUUGGUGAGAGGAAGGAAUGAUUUAG